GACUCAGACUUCAGUCCAAAGACCAAUCCUGGGCUGUGGGACUUUUAGUGCUGAGAAAGUUCCAGGCAGACCAAAUGAGUCCGUCAUCCUACCUGGGCUAAAGUAAAAUACUGCCUGCUGAGAUUGUAAAGUUGAAGAAGCAUGAGCUACAGAAUAAAAAACCUGAUUGAAAUUCCAGCUGAACCA